UCACACGGAACUGCCGGUCAUAAACCGGAGGAAGUGGGAUGACGUCAAGUCAGCAUGGCCUUUAUAUCCUGGGCUACACACACGCUACAAUGGGAAGGGACAAUAGGUUGCGAAGCCGCGAGGUGGAGCCAAUCCAGCAAAUCCCUCAGUUCAGAUUGCAGGCUGCAACUCGCCUGCAUGAAGUUGGAGUUGCUAGUAAACGCAGGUCAGCCAUACUGCGUUGAAUACGUUCCCGGGGCUU
rnacentral:rRNA from 1 species